UACGGGGGGGGCAAGCGUUGUUCGGAAUUACUGGGCGUAAAGGGCUCGUAGGUGGCCAACUAAGUCAGACGUGAAAUCCCCAGGCUCAACUUGGGAACUGCGUCUGAUACUGGAUGGCUUGAAUUCGGGAGAGGGAUGCAGAAUUCCAGGUGUAGCGGUGAAAUGCGUAGAUAUCUGGAGGAACACCGGUGGCGAAGGCGGCAUCCUGGACCGACACUGACGCUGAGGAGCGAAAGCCAGGGGAGCAAACGGG
rnacentral:rRNA from 1 species